GCUGGUAUAACUCAGCUGGUAGAGUAACUCAUUCGUAAUGAGUAAGUCGUCGGUUCGAAUCCGACUAUCAGCU
rnacentral:tRNA from 1 species